AGAACGAAGAGCUAGAGCCUCGGCACCAUUGCAGAGAUGGAGAAUGAGCACCGAGGGCAGCAGCUAGGGUAGAUUCGUGUAGGGCAGCGUCAUGCCCUCGGUGUGUGGGCAGAAUCGUCCAUGGCGGGCACCGAAACAGGGAGCAGCGUGCGUUAAGGCGAUUGAUGGGCGUGCAUUGUGGAAUUCGUCGCCGGAGCUGUUGAUGCGGUAUGAACGCCGCAGUAUCGCGUGUGCGGGGCCCCUGUUGCCCCAAUCCGAGUGAGGUAAUGAGAAUCUGAAGAUCGUCCUGGUACCUGGAAUCUCAAGGCUGAGUGUGGAAUGGGACGCCCUUGGCUGACUAAUUAGAAAAGCUAUUGGAGGACUACCUUACCCGAAAGGGGCAAGGGCAGUAGGGGAGUUGUUGGUAUAGGGAGGUUCUCGGGUUGAUCAUGCGGCGAUGGCUUUUCGGACGGGGGAUUCCUAUAUUGCGCUCCCUAGAAACUGUAGCGGGUUUUUCUGAAGCUAGUGGAACUUUGUAAAGGCCUCGUAGUGGAUCCCUAGCCAUUCACUUCAGAAGUGUCUAUGGGUCUAGCUAACCCUAGCUAGACGGGAUACACGACUUGUGGGCAAAGGGCGCAACCUUUGCAGAGUGUAAAACUGGUAUAUCAGCCGUGCUCGCGGUCAUGAGCAGCUCAGGACUCUCGCAUGAUUAAUCUAUGGAACUAAACUUAAUUUUUCAU
rnacentral:lncRNA from 7 species